rnacentral:rRNA from 1 species
AGUGAACGCUGGCGGUAGGCCUAACACAUGCAAGUCGAACGGCAGCACAGAGGAGCUUGCUCCUUGGGUGGCGAGUGGCGGACGGGUGAGGAAUACAUCGGAAUCUACUCUGUCGUGGGGGAUAACGUAGGGAAACUUACGCUAAUACCGCAUACGACCUACGGGUGAAAGCAGGGGACCUUCGGGCCUUGCGCGAUUGAAUGAGCCGAUGUCGGAUUAGCUAGUUGGCGGGGUAAAGGCCCACCAAGGCGACGGUCCGUAGCUGGUCGGAGAGGAUGAGCAGCCACACUGGAACUGGGACACGGUCCAGACUCCUACGGGAGGUAGCAGUGGGGAAUAUUGGACAAUGGGCGCAAGCCUGAUCCAGCCAUACCGCGUGGGUGAAGAAGGCCUUCGGGUUGUAAAGCCCUUUUGUUGGGAAAGAAAUCCAGCUGGCUAAUACCCGGUUGGGAUGACGGUACCCAAAGAAUAAGCACCGGCUAACUUCGUGCCAGCCGCCGCAGUAA